UAUAAAGUGGCAAAACAGUCUAGAGGUUUCCCCUUUUAAAGUUGUGCAUCUAAGUGGUAAUGUGUGAAUGAUAUAACCAGAGGUUUGAGAAGACAGGCCCUGUGCAAGGAGUCACAUCAGAGAGAUGGGAUCAGAUACAAUUCCCCGACAGCCCAAGUUUACACACCACCAGCUGUGGAAGGUAAAGCGCCAGGCCCACCACUGAGCCCCCAACCCAUUGUGCCCAGUGCUACCAAAGAAGGGAGGUUCUUGGGAAAGAUGUCCUCUGAAACAUCAAUUCCCACCUUGUCCUGUUUGAAGGGAUGUCUAGCUGAAGUCCACUUUCAAGAUGAAGAACCCAAACACAUGCUCACACAUUUUGCUGCCUGAGGCAAGAGAAACAUGGCAUCCCUUUUAUAUACAGAAGGAGUCAAGACUACAACCAACAGGACACUGUUUUCUGGCAUGACCGUAGCCAACAGGCCACACAACACAUACCUCAGAGACAGAUGGAGUGGUGGCAUCCCCUAAUGUAUCAUAUUUAAUUUUGGAAAGGUGUUUGUUAAAAGACAUGUGCUUAAAGAACUGACUUGAGGCAUCAACCAACUAAUCAGCAGCACUACAUUUUGUUUUAACUUGAUACAGAUUAAACUGGAAAGACCACACCAUGACUGACACCUUCUAAAAACUAAUGUACAUCUAUUGU